GGAGAGAUGGCCGAGCGGUUGAAGGCGAUUGACUCGAAAUCAAUUGUGCCCAUUACGUGGCACCGGGGGUUCGAAUCCCCCUCUCUCCGCCA
rnacentral:tRNA from 1 species